GACGAACGCUGGCGGCGUGCUUAACACAUGCAAGUCGAACGGAAAGGCCCUGCUUUUGUUGGGUGCUCGAGUGGCGAACGGGUGAGUAACACGUGAGUAACCUGCCCUUGACGUUGGGGUAACUUCAGGGAACUGGGGCUAAUACCGGCUAGGAGCUCCUGCUGCAUGGUGGUGGUUGGAAAGUGUCGGCGGUUGGGGAUGGACGCCCGGCUUAUCAGCUUGUUGGUUGGGUAGUGGCAAACCAAGGGAUUGACGGGUAGCCGGCCUGGGAGGGUGACCAGGCACAUUGGGACUGAGAUACGGCCCAGACGCGUACGGUGGGCAGCAGUGGGGAAUAUUGCACAGUGGGCGGGAGCCUGAGGCAGCAACGCCGGGUGCGGGAUGACGGCCUUCGGGUUGUAAACCGCUUUCGCCUGUGACGAAGCGUGAGUGACGGUAAUGGGUAAAGAAGCACCGGCUAACUACGUG
rnacentral:rRNA from 1 species